CGUAGCGGCAGGCUUAACACAUGCAAGUCGAGGGGCAGCACGGGUAGCAAUACCUGGUGGCGACCGGCGCAAGGGUGCGUAACGCGUGAGCAACAUGCCCUAUACAGGGGGAUAAUCCAGGGAAACUUGGUCUAAUAUCCCAUAGUAUUUAGAGGAGGCAUCUUCUAUAAAUUAAAGCUUCGGUGGUAUAGGAUUGGCUCGCGUGACAUUAGCUAGAUGGUGAGGUAACGGCUCACCAUGGCAAUGAUGUCUAGGGGUUCUGAGAGGAAGACCCCCCACACUGGGACUGAGACACGGCCCAGACUCCUACGGGAGGCAGCAGUGAGGAAUAUUGGACAAUGGAUGGAAAUCUGAUCCAGCCAUGCCGCGUGCAGGAAGACAGCCCUAUGGGUUGUAAACUGCUUUUAUAUGGGAGCAAUAAGGUCUACGUGUAGACUGAUGAGAGUACCAUAUGAAUAAGCAUCGGCUAACUCCGUG
rnacentral:rRNA from 1 species